ACUGAUAAAAAUUAUAUAGUAACAGUAACUAUUCACUCGCGUUUAAUUUUACUAUGGCCAUGCGCCACAAUCUAAUAGUAAAACUAACUACAAUUCCAUUUAUUCUGAACUACAGCGAAGGUUACUGCACAGGUACUAGAGCACCCAUAGUAAAUUUAAACAUGCAAUUCAGUUCCCGCUAGCCUCGCCACGAUUUGUGAUUUUUGUUGUUUUUAGCAGUUUUCCACUUCACGCCAUCUUCAUUAAACAAAAACUGGUGCCGCAAUCAUAUUGACCUCACAUGCUCACAUAUAAGAAUUAUUGGUAUUCAUUACUGAAUGCUUUGACGGCUUUGAAGGACAUUCCUUGUUAAAAGGUUCCCGCGGAUUCUAUCCUAGAAAAAAUACACAAGUUCCAGUCGAAGUAGCCGUAGAUAGAUAAUGUUGAGCCGAAAAACCAUCCUGCUCAUCAAGCAACAACAUAUUUUCAUCACUUGUUUCUUCACCAUCGGAGAAGAAAAACCACAUAACAAUGAAUGAUUGGCGAGGAAUCUCCGCGAUUUUUGUCUUGCAUUACUAAUCCUUAGCAUGAAGUGUAUUAUUAUUUAUCAAUAAGAAAUAUGUCUAAAUAAAAA